rnacentral:lncRNA from 1 species
CUGGCAUGCACCCUGACCUGCCUUGCUGUGUGUUCUAGGAAAUAGAGGCGAGAGAGUGACGCACCGGACCCGGACGGACCACCGGCGAGGCGACGGUCCCAGCUGCCUGCUUCCUCGCCCAUGGUCACGGACAGCGACCCAUCCCCACUGACGCGACAGGUCGGGCACAGUGACAACGAUUUCCAAACACGAAAUCGAAAUCUCCAAGGAAAAGUCUUCAUACUAUAUUCAGUGCUCUCGUGCUUUCACC